UGCAAGUCGNNNGAGCGGAACCAACAGAUUUACUUCGGUAAUGACGUUGGGAAAGCGAGCGGCGGAUGGGUGAGUAACACGUGGGGAACCUGCCCCUAAGUCUGGGAUACCAUUUGGAAACAGGUGCUAAUACCGGAUAAUAAAGCAGAUCGCAUGAUCAGCUUUUGAAAGGCGGCGUAAGCUGUCGCUAAGGGAUGGCCCCGCGGUGCAUUAGCUAGUUGGUAAGGUAACGGCUUACCAAGGCGACGAUGCAUAGCCGAGUUGAGAGACUGAUCGGCCACAUUGGGACUGAGACACGGCCCAAACUCCUACGGGAGGCAGCAGUAGGGAAUCUUCCACAAUGGACGCAAGUCUGAUGGAGCAACGCCGCGUGAGUGAAGAAGGUUUUCGGAUCGUAAAGCUCUGUUGUUGGUGAAGAAGGAUAGAGGUAGUAACUGGCCUUUAUUUGACGGUAAUCAACCAGAAAGUCACGGCUAACUAC
rnacentral:rRNA from 1 species